GGGUUGUGAGGUUAAGCGACUAAGCGUACACGGUGGAUGCCCUGGCAGUCAGAGGCGAUGAAGGACGUGCUAAUCUGCGAUAAGCGUCGGUAAGGUGAUAUGAACCGUUAUAACCGGCGAUUUCCGAAUGGGGAAACCCAGUGUGAUUCGUCACACUAUCAUUAACUGAAUCCAUAGGUUAAUGAGGCGAACCGGGGGAACUGAAACAUCUAAGUACCCCGAGGAAAAGAAAUCAACCGAGAUUCCCCCAGUAGCGGCGAGCGAACGGGGAGCAGCCCAGAGCCUGAAUCAGUGUGUGUGUUAGUGGAAGCGUCUGGAAAGGCGCGCGAUACAGGGUGACAGCCCCGUACACAAAAAUGCACAUGCUGUGAGCUCGAUGAGUAGGGCGGGACACGUGGUAUCCUGUCUGAAUAUGGGGGGACCAUCCUCCAAGGCUAAAUACUCCUGACUGACCGAUAGUGAACCAGUACCGUGAGGGAAAGGCGAAAAGAACCCCGGCGAGGGGAGUGAAAAAGAACCUGAAACCGUGUACGUACAAGCAGUGGGAGCACGCUUAGGCGUGUGACUGCGUACCUUUUGUAUAAUGGGUCAGCGACUUAUAUUCUGUAGCAAGGUUAACCGAAUAGGGGAGCCGAAGGGAAACCGAGUCUUAACUGGGCGUUAAGUUGCAGGGUAUAGACCCGAAACCCGGUGAUCUAGCCAUGGGCAGGUUGAAGGUUGGGUAACACUAACUGGAGGACCGAACCGACUAAUGUUGAAAAAUUAGCGGAUGACUUGUGGCUGGGGGUGAAAGGCCAAUCAAACCGGGAGAUAGCUGGUUCUCCCCGAAAGCUAUUUAGGUAGCGCCUCGUGAAUUCAUCUCCGGGGGUAGAGCACUGUUUCGGCAAGGGGGUCAUCCCGACUUACCAACCCGAUGCAAACUGCGAAUACCGGAGAAUGUUAUCACGGGAGACACACGGCGGGUGCUAACGUCCGUCGUGAAGAGGGAAACAACCCAGACCGCCAGCUAAGGUCCCAAAGUCAUGGUUAAGUGGGAAACGAUGUGGGAAGGCCCAGACAGCCAGGAUGUUGGCUUAGAAGCAGCCAUCAUUUAAAGAAAGCGUAAUAGCUCACUGGUCGAGUCGGCCUGCGCGGAAGAUGUAACGGGGCUAAACCAUGCACCGAAGCUGCGGCAGCGACGCUUAUGCGUUGUUGGGUAGGGGAGCGUUCUGUAAGCCUGUGAAGGUGUGCUGUGAGGCAUGCUGGAGGUAUCAGAAGUGCGAAUGCUGACAUAAGUAACGAUAAAGCGGGUGAAAAGCCCGCUCGCCGGAAGACCAAGGGUUCCUGUCCAACGUUAAUCGGGGCAGGGUGAGUCGACCCCUAAGGCGAGGCCGAAAGGCGUAGUCGAUGGGAAACAGGUUAAUAUUCCUGUACUUGGUGUUACUGCGAAGGGGGGACGGAGAAGGCUAUGUUGGCCGGGCGACGGUUGUCCCGGUUUAAGCGUGUAGGCUGGUUUUCCAGGCAAAUCCGGAAAAUCAAGGCUGAGGCGUGAUGACGAGGCACUACGGUGCUGAAGCAACAAAUGCCCUGCUUCCAGGAAAAGCCUCUAAGCAUCAGGUAACAUCAAAUCGUACCCCAAACCGACACAGGUGGUCAGGUAGAGAAUACCAAGGCGCUUGAGAGAACUCGGGUGAAGGAACUAGGCAAAAUGGUGCCGUAACUUCGGGAGAAGGCACGCUGAUAUGUAGGUGAAGUCCCUCGCGGAUGGAGCUGAAAUCAGUCGAAGAUACCAGCUGGCUGCAACUGUUUAUUAAAAACACAGCACUGUGCAAACACGAAAGUGGACGUAUACGGUGUGACGCCUGCCCGGUGCCGGAAGGUUAAUUGAUGGGGUCAGCGCAAGCGAAGCUCUUGAUCGAAGCCCCGGUAAACGGCGGCCGUAACUAUAACGGUCCUAAGGUAGCGAAAUUCCUUGUCGGGUAAGUUCCGACCUGCACGAAUGGCGUAAUGAUGGCCAGGCUGUCUCCACCCGAGACUCAGUGAAAUUGAACUCGCUGUGAAGAUGCAGUGUACCCGCGGCAAGACGGAAAGACCCCGUGAACCUUUACUAUAGCUUGACACUGAACAUUGAGCCUUGAUGUGUAGGAUAGGUGGGAGGCUUUGAAGUGUGGACGCCAGUCUGCAUGGAGCCGACCUUGAAAUACCACCCUUUAAUGUUUGAUGUUCUAACGUGGACCCGUGAUCCGGGUUGCGGACAGUGUCUGGUGGGUAGUUUGACUGGGGCGGUCUCCUCCUAAAGAGUAACGGAGGAGCACGAAGGUUGGCUAAUCCUGGUCGGACAUCAGGAGGUUAGUGCAAUGGCAUAAGCCAGCUUGACUGCGAGCGUGACGGCGCGAGCAGGUGCGAAAGCAGGUCAUAGUGAUCCGGUGGUUCUGAAUGGAAGGGCCAUCGCUCAACGGAUAAAAGGUACUCCGGGGAUAACAGGCUGAUACCGCCCAAGAGUUCAUAUCGACGGCGGUGUUUGGCACCUCGAUGUCGGCUCAUCACAUCCUGGGGCUGAAGUAGGUCCCAAGGGUAUGGCUGUUCGCCAUUUAAAGUGGUACGCGAGCUGGGUUUAGAACGUCGUGAGACAGUUCGGUCCCUAUCUGCCGUGGGCGCUGGAGAACUGAGGGGGGCUGCUCCUAGUACGAGAGGACCGGAGUGGACGCAUCACUGGUGUUCGGGUUGUCAUGCCAAUGGCACUGCCCGGUAGCUAAAUGCGGAAGAGAUAAGUGCUGAAAGCAUCUAAGCACGAAACUUGCCCCGAGAUGAGUUCUCCCUGACUCCUUGAGAGUCCUGAAGGAACGUUGAAGACGACGACGUUGAUAGGCCGGGUGUGUAAGCGCAGCGAUGCGUUGAGCUAACCGGUACUAAUGAACCGUGAGGCUUAACCUUACAACGCCGAAGGUGUUU
rnacentral:rRNA from 1 species